CCCUUAGAUGUUCUGGGCCGCACACGCGCUACACUGAAGGAGGCAGCGUGUACUCCUGGAUCGAAAGAUUUGGGUAACCCGCGAAUCUCCUUCGUGCUAGGGAUUGAGGUUUGCAAUUAUCCUUCAUGAACGAGGAAUUCCCAGUAAGUGCAAGUCAUAAGCUUGCGCUGACUACGUCCCUGCCCUUUGUACACACCGCCCGUCGCUACUACCGAUUGAAUGAUUUAGUGAGGACUUCGGACUGGGACCGAUGCGGCUUUCGGGCUGCGUAGGUAUUCUGGAAAGAUGUCCAAACUGUAUCAUUUAGAGGAAGUAAAANUCGUAACA
rnacentral:rRNA from 1 species